UGGGGGCUUGAUUCGCGUCAUUCCCAGCCGAACGAUCCCUUCGUUCCUCCUUCUCGAGCGGUUCACAGAGCCAUCAGUGUCUCCUUUCAAUCGGGAUCGGAUCAUGCGACAAACUUAGGAGGCGACCAAACAAGGGGAAUGCAUCAGAACAACUAGGGGCAUGCAUCGGAACAACUCACUGUUGGUUUCCGAUCAGAUCCUGGUCCUCCUCAUUCUUGCGGCUGAUUGAGGUCUCGAUUGAAGUUGUUGGGGAUCUUUUGAGGACUCUGAUUCGAGACGAGCGUCUCAAUGUCGGAUUAAUUGGAUACGAUCUUCUUUUUGAUGCGGGUUGAAGCUGUUAGGAGGUUCCAGUCGCUAGUUACCACCCUGAGUCGCGACGGUUUUCUACCUUUGGACUUGUGGUUUCCUUGUUAUAUUUUUAUAUAUUUGUGAUGUAUAACUGUACUCAUGGAUUUUUAUCGAGUUUUGGUCUAUUGCCUUUGUUUUCCGC